GAUGAACGCUGGCGGCGUGCCUAAUACAUGCAAGUCGAGCGAACAGAUAAGGAGCUUGCUCCUUUGACGUUAGCGGCGGACGGGUGAGUAACACGUGGGUAACCUACCUAUAAGACUGGGAUAACUUCGGGAAACCGGAGCUAAUACCGGAUAACAUUUGGAACCGCAUGGUUCUAAAGUGAAAGAUGGUUUUGCUAUCACUUAUAGAUGGACCCGCGCCGUAUUAGCUAGUUGGUAAGGUAACGGCUUACCAAGGCGACGAUACGUAGCCGACCUGAGAGGGUGAUCGGCCACACUGGAACUGAGACACGGUCCAGACUCCUACGGGAGGCAGCAGUAGGGAAUCUUCCGCAAUGGGCGAAAGCCUGACGGAGCAACGCCGCGUGAGUGAUGAAGGGUUUCGGCUCGUAAAACUCUGUUAUUAGGGAAGAACAAACGUGUAAGUAACUGUGCACGUCUUGACGGUACCUAAUCAGAAAGCCACGGCUGACUACGUG
rnacentral:rRNA from 1 species